rnacentral:rRNA from 1 species
AAUGAACGCUGGCGGUAGGCCUAACACAUGCCAGUCGAACGGCAGCACAGUAAGAGCUUGCUCUUGCGGGUGGCGAGUGGCGGACGGGUGAGGAAUACAUCGGAAUCUACUUUUUCGGGGGGGAUAACGUAGGGAAACUUACGCUAAUACAGCAUACGACCUACGGGUGAAAGCAGGGGAUCUUCGGGCCUUUCGCGAUUGAAUGAGCCGAUGUCGGAUUAGCUAGUUGGCGGGGUAAAGGCCCACCAAGGCGACGAUCCGUAGCUGGUCUGAGAGGAUGAUCAGCCACACUGGAACUGAGACACGGUCCAGACUCCUACGGGAGGCAGCAGUGGGGAAUAUUGCACAAGGGGCGAAAGCCUGAUCCAGCAAUACCGCGUGAGUGAAGAAGGACUUCGGGUUGUAAAGCCCUGUUGUUGGGAAAGAAAAGCAGCAGGUUAAUACGCGGCUGUUCUGACGGUACCCAAAGAAUAAGCACCGGCUAACUUCGUG